GUCGAUGCUGGAUUUAAAUUAACCGUAAGGUGUAGAGGCUUUAUUGAGUAAAUCUGUUCGAUUUUUUAAAAUUUUACGUGAUCUGAGUUCAAACCGGUGAAAACCAGGUUGGUUUUUAUCUUUUAGAUUUUAUUUUAUUUAGUACGAAAGGAUUGAUUAUAAUUUAUUAUUUUAAUUAAUUA